rnacentral:rRNA from 1 species
CAGAAACAUCCCAUGGCGGCUGAGCCGUCCCGUGCCUUUCCCCAUGGAGGUAUCAUCCCGAUUCGAAAGGAAAAAUCAUCCAGAUUCGAAAUUCUUUCGCUAGGGUUAGGAGACCUGUUGGGAGAUGAUGCUUCCCUCUGGCAGGAUCCCCUCGUUCCGUGCUGGGCUGGCGAGCGUCGAGCGGCGCGGUUAAUUCCUCUCCGGCGGUUGUGUCCGGCCAAGCGUGCGAGUCUCCGAGCGUUUCGGGCAGGGCCGGCGAGUGGCGUUCCGGGCAGGGCCAGCGAGCAGCGCUUCUGAUUCGUCUCCGGCCAACAGUGCCAGUCCUCCGAGCAUUCCCCAUCGAUGUCAUACUAGAUCUAAUCCCAAGGUUUUCUGGUGGCAGUAAAGAUAUAUGCAGAUUUCAACAACAAAAAAGACUGUUGUUUGGAGUCGUAGUAGUGCACUGAUACGUCCUUCUGCGUGUGUACUCGAGUUGUGUGCUCAAUGUUUGAUGUAUAAGUGUGAGAUUUACUAUGGCUGUUCAGUUAGUGAUGUGUCUAUCUUGUAACAAAAUUCCCUAGCAUAAUGCGGUUGGAACAUUUGC